UUUUAAAUAAUUAAUAUAAAAGUAUCGAUGACAAUAUAGUAUAACAUCACAAAAAAUAAAAAAGUAAUUCAAAGGGGUUAUUAAGGAUAGCACAAGCAAAUUUAUACAAAAGGAGGUGUCAACCAAAUGCUUUCAUAAUAUUAAAUUAUUUAUCGUGAAAGCGAUCCUAAGGGAAACCUUUUAAUUAAUACUUCCUGAAGUAAAACAUUUUAGUAAGGAAAGGAAAGGAAAUCAACCGAGACUCCGAAAGUAAUGGUGAGUGAAAUCGGAUUAGCCUAAGAUUAUCUUUUAUAAAUUGAAUAAAUUAACUCUUUUUUAUAAUAUUCUUAAUAAAAUUUAUACCAAUAAACUUAAAUAAGUAAUAUGAAAAAAAGAACUUAAUUUACAAAUAAUUUUAUUUGAAAUAAAAAAAUUUUGUUCAAAGAAGGUUAAAUACAAUAAGUCCUGUAGAUUUAUAAAAAAAUAAUAUAAUAAGUACGAUGAGAGUUAACUUGUCGGAAUAUAGGGGAACCAUCCUCUAAGGCUAAGUAUUAUAAAUUUAGCGAUAGUGAAAAAGUACUGUAAAGGAAAAGUUUGAAAAGCAAUGGUUUAAAGAAACAUAAGAGUAAUUAUUAAAAUUUAAAUAAUAUCUAAAAAAUAUUAUAAUUUAAUAAAUGCCGGUGAAAAAGAUCUUGAAUUAGUAACUCUAUAAGCAGUCGAAAUUUCAAAGAAAUGACGGCGUACCUUUUGCAUAAUGGGUCAGCAAGUUAAUAGGAGUAGCAAGGUUAAAAGCCCUAGCGAAAGCGACUGGACUAUAAUUAAAAUAAAGGUUUUCAACUUUUUAACAUAAAAAAAUAUAGUGAUGGAUAAGUUACUUCUAUUAGACCCGAAGCCAGGUGAUCUUACUAAGACCAGAUUAUAAUGGAUCGAACGGGUGAAUGUUGCAUAAUUCUCCGAUGAGUUUUAGUAAGCGGUGAAAUGCCAAUCUGACCUGGUGCUAUCUGGUUUUCUACCGAAACAUAUUUAAGUAUGACAUCUACACAAAAUUUAUGGAGGUACAGCAAGGCAAUUCCCAACAAGUAUAAGAGUCAUUAUUUCUAAAUAAUCUCGUCUUAUAGGCGUUUAGGUUGUGGGGACCUCGAAAAUCUUACCUAUGGAAGCGAAUCUCGGAAGUACAUAAAUUGAUGGUAGAUAUUCAGACUAUCCAUGCUAAGUUGGAUAGUCAAGACGGAAACAGCCGAGAACAUUGAUCAAGGUCCCAAAUGAUUAUUAAGUGAAAUUAAGGAUGUUUAAAAUCGGAUACAGCUGUGAAGUGAGCUUGGAAGUAGCUUCUUAUAAUGAUCGUAUGUAACAACGCAUCAGCAGUCUAGAUUGUAGCGCCGAAAAUUUAACGGGUCUAAAAUAAUCAACCGAUAUCGUGUUGGUUUAAAAUAAAAAUAAAAAUAAAAAAUAAAAAUAAAUAAAUAAAUAAAUAAAAUAAAAAGUUUUUCUUUUUUAAAAUUCUUAUUUUAAACCUAGGUAGUAGAACAUUCAGUCAAACUAUUUAUAAAACAGUGUUUCAUUGUUUUUAGGUAACUGAAGAGAGAAUGCUGACAUGAGUAACGUAAAAAGAAGUUAUAAUACUUCUCGCCGAAUACGAAAGGGUUGUAAGUGAAAGGUUAAUCCACCUUACGUGAAUGCGGCCUCUAAGGACUAGAACGAAAGUUUUGGCUGAUGAGUAUAUAAUAGAAAAUCCAUUUUUUGGAUCAGGAAAUUAAUAUGAGAUAAAAUUUUAUUUUUAUCUGUAAGAACUUAAUUUUAUUUUUAAUAGGUCUAAAUUUUACAAAUUUUAUAGUUACCUUUAUUCUUUUUAUUUUUUAAAUAAGAAAAUAGAAAAAUCAAAUUAAGACUACCGUACCCUAAACCGACACAGGUUCGUAGGUAGAGAAUACUAAGGCGUAGAGCUAAAAGUUGUUAAGGAACUCGGCAAAUUCACCUCAUAAGUUUGACAACAAGAGGUACCGCAUAUUAUUAAUAAUAAUUAUUAAAUAGUAAAAUAUUUCAUAUUUGUUUUUUUUAUAAGGCGGUGACACAUAAUCGGAGGCCCCGACUGUUUACUAAAAACACAGAUCACAGCAAUCAUGUAAAUGAUAGUAUUGUGGUCGAAAUUUGCCCGAUGCCAUUAAUAUAAGAGAGGUUAUAGUUUCUGUGACUAAUCGAAAGUCUGGUUAAUAGCGGUCUUAACUAUGAGGAUCCUAAGGUAGCAAAAUAAAUUGGCCAUUAAAUGUGGUCCGGUAUCAAUAAUGUAACGAGGGCCUCACUGUCUCUACAACUUGCUCAGUGAAAUUGAAUUACCCGUGCAGAUGCGGGUUACCUCCAGGGGGACGGGAAGACCCUAUGCAGCUUUACUGUAGUUAGUUAUCAUAUUAAUCUACAACAACCUUUGUUACUAGAGAAUAGGUAAGUCGAUAGACUAUUUGUGGAAACCUUAAAACUUAGGUUGGGUUAAUGUUUACCUUUAUAUAAAAUAAAAACUUAAAAGGGAGAGGUUACUAAUUGGCAGUUUGACUGGGGCGGUCGUCUUUAAUAAAGUAGCAAAGUACAUCCAAAUAUUUAAAUUAUUAUAAUGUUUAAGUUUAAAUUUAGUUUCUGGAUUUAAAUUAUUUUACAUUUCAAACAAAUAAAAUAUAACAAAAUAUUAUAUUUUUUAUAUUAAUAUCUUUCAUAUACUUUUGUAUAUAGUAAAGAAAUACACAAAAAAUUAAAAAAGGUAUAGCUAGAAAUUGAAUGGAGAUCAAUCAACCAGUGAAAGGUUGUGCAGGGCUCAAUGGCGGUAAGCAUGCUUAACUGAAAGACCUAAAAGUCGCACAGAUACGUAAGUAGGGCAUAGUGACCCCUCGCUAUAAUAUGGGAUAGACGGGGAUCAAUUGAUAAAAGUUACGCUAGGGAUAACAGGCUGAUAGCCGACGAGAGUACACAUUGUCUCGGCUGAUUGGCACCUCGAUGUCGACUCAUCCUAUCCUCCGGGGGAAGAAGCUUGGAAGGGUUCGGCUGUUCGCCGAUUAAAAGGGUACGCGAGUUGGGUUUAAUACGACGUGAGUCAGUAUGGUCCCUAUCUUCUGGAGGAAGAAAUAGUAAAAAGGGGCAGACCUUCUAGUACGAAAGGAUCAAUAGGCUGUGUUUCUCUAGUGUACCAAUUGUUUGU
rnacentral:rRNA from 1 species